rnacentral:lncRNA from 1 species
AACAAUUUGUUAAAAGAAAUUUGUCGAUAUCUUUUUUUGUUACGAAGGAGAUGCACUCUGAUGAUAAACAGUGAAUAGGGAGAUAACUCUUACAAAGAAAAUGGUUCGCCUUAGCAGGGUGAAAUUUAAAAGCGCAUAAACUAUACAAUACCAUAUGAGAAAUAUCUAAGCGACAUAUUACGAAACAAACAUUUAUCGCAAGAACAAAAUUUGGAGAAAAAAAAAAAAAAAACAAUUAAAAACCAAUUGUUCAGAGAACAAUUGAAAGUCUUUCCACAC